rnacentral:misc_RNA from 1 species
UGUUGUAUAGAUGGUGUAUAUUAUUAGUAAUUAUGAUAGAUUAGGCCUAUACAUAGAUCAUUCAUUUUUGUAUGAAUAAAUAAAUGCAUAAAUAGGAUGAAAUGCAGUAUGAGGUGCAGUGAGUGGAUAAUGUUUGAGAACUUGGUGUUACUUAGUGGACAUAGUUAGUGUGCUUACUGGAAUUACCUGUGUGAAAUCUGCUAUGUUCACCUGCUUCUGGCAUCUAUGGUCAUGGCUGGAUCCACCGGUAACCUCACCCCUAGCCAGCCCUGCUGUUAUAACCAUGGCAUCAAUCAAGAAGAGCGGGGUAGGCAGUGGGGUGAGUCCCAGCGGGGCAGGGCCCCCUGUGGGGGGUGUUGGUACCCCCACACGACGCAACAGUCAGGUGCGGUCCCCAUGCAUCAAGCGACUGCCCUCGGCACCUGUCACACUGCAAGGGUGGCUGCAUAAGCAGGGCUCAGACGGACUUAUGCUCUGGAAGAAGCGAUGGUUCGUCCUGUCCGACUACUGUCUGUUUUAUUACAAGGGACAAGAAGAGGAGAAGCUGUUGGGUUCCAUCCUGUUGCCAUCGUACCGAAUCUCACCUUGCUCCUCGGAUGACAAGCUGUACAGCCGCAAGUUCAGCUUCAAGGCAGAGCACGCCAACAUGCGCACUUACUACUUCGCGGCUGAAUCCCAGCAACAGAUGGCCCAGUGGAUGAAUGCCCUUAGUCUGGCAUCCAUAUUACAGGAUUCUGCUAACUGUUGGGACGAACACAGAUCCGGAGGCUCAACAAACAACCGCAAUAACAUUAACAACAACAACAACACAUCAGACAGCGACUCAGGCUUCCAACCGAACCAACGUUUGCAACCACACCACACCUACAACGACAUCCCCUCACAGAAUACCAACAACAGUUGGCAGACCUGUCACACCAACAUGCAACUGCCUCCAGGCUACCAACCUUUGUACGCGAAUGCACCUCCGAAACCCAGACGUCUCAACGAUAGUUCUUCGACUGAAAGAUCUCCGGAACGUCACCAUGAUGACGUGGGAGGUAGAACCUCGAGGAUGGGUGCUCAACCUCAACAGGAAACCUAUAACAGGGGAGUUCCUCAACAGGAAACCUAUAACAGGGGUCCAGUGAAUGUUCAACCUCAACAAGGGGUCGUCUAUAAUGCUCAACACUCUCAUCACAGAACUGUGAACAACCUGUACGUGAUCAACAAUAUCAGUAGCUGUAACAACCCUAACGUAGUUUCCACUGCUCAAUUGAUGAAUAACUCUGAGAGGAGAACUCCAGAUACUUAUGGGAGGUCAAAUAACGCAACUCCUUGUGCUCAACAGGCUGUGAGGGUCAAACAACGCAGCGCUGAUUAUGAGGAUGUCUACCAGAAUAAUCCUGAUUUAGUUGCUAACACGAAUGUGCAUCAUAGGGGUUGUCAAUCGCCGUAUCAUCCUGGAGGUAGCAUACCAGGAGGUGCAGGAGGUAGCAUACAAUACCUACCAGGAGGAACCUCUUCAUACCUACCAGGAGCAACAGGAGGUUCAUCUCCAUACCAACCAGGAGGUAGCAUAUCUCAUCAACCAGGAGGAACAUCUUCAUAUCUACCAGGAGGAACAGGAGGUACAUCUCCAUAUCAACCAGGAGUUAUAGGAGGAGCAACAGGAGCCUACCAACCAGGAGUUAUAGGAGGUACCAUAUCCUAUCAACCAGAAGGACCAGGAGCCUACCAGGUGCAAUACAGGAGGUACCAAGCUCAGGAAAGUGUGGAGGAACGCCAGAGGCGGUUCCAGGUGAGACCUCACAGUGCGGACUUCCUAGAGUAUGACACCAGGUACCAUUCCCCCACACCACAGAGUAGCGAGAGAGACUCAUACGACGGCAGACCUGUGAGACCACAGAGUCAGCGGAGGGUUAGUGGUAGUGCUCAGCAGAAACCGCGACCGAAGUCCAGUAUGGAGAUAGCGCAUCCUAGUGACUUUGACACUCAACAGCAUUGGUCAGAGGAGAGUUAUGCGAGGAAAAUGAGACAGAGUGCUUCAUUUGUGGCUCCUCAAAUUCAGGUGCCCAACGCUUCAUCUAGGGCGACUACACCGUCCUUGAAACAGGUGGCUUUUCCUGGUGUAGGGUCGAUGCCUUAUGAUGCAGCCGUCAGUUACAACCAUACCAAAUCACAGGGGAGUGCUACAAUGCGGAGUCAUUGUGAGGUAAUUGAACGCCAAGAACGCAAAUGGAACGACUACGUGGAGAGCCGAGGCACUGUCCCGUUUGUGAGGUCGGCUAGUGCGAGGUUGGCAAGACAGCUGCCCGAUGACCUUGACUUCGACCCCAAGGUCACUCACCCUGAUAACCUCAUGGAAACAGGUCAGCUGGCUUUCAAGCGACGUAACAGCACGGAACCCAGGGAGAGCGGUACAAAGAUUCAACAGAGAGAAGAAUCAAUGAAACGUCUCCUAGAAUGGAAACAGCGUAUGCUGCAAUCCCCGCUCACCCGCAAAAACUCCGGGUCAUCGUCGGCCGGUGGCCGGUCAACCACACACCAGGAGCUCAAACACUACAAGCAACAGCUGGCGUUGUCCGCCGACCAUCAGUCAGCUGUUCAGCUAUCAGCUGUCAAUUCAACAGCUGAUCAGCUGUCAGCUGUUGAUCACCAGCGGGCCGUCAGCACGAUGCCUGAGAUGAGAUCUUCUAGGAGGAAAGAAGACCAGGCGCUGAGAUCUGCUUCUACCAGGAGCCGAGACGACCAGGCGUCGAGAUCUGCUUCUACCAGGAGUCGAUCCCAGGACGGUAGGAGGUCGGCCAGUCUUGCCAACCGUUAUACCAGCUACUCUUCAGACGAUGAAGAGGUACAAGAAUCUCGCGAAUCGUGGAAAAGGACCCGGCGUCUCUCACAACAGCAGCCGAAGACAAUCCGUCCUGACAACUGGGAAGGCAAGCAGGCGGCGGCAAACUACGAAAAUUUGGAAUUGGCGCGCUCCGUCGACCACUCCCCAUCGACCAAUCAGAAGCCGAGCAGCAAUUCGUCCUCCAAUCAGAAGCCGAGAACCGGCGACAGCAGCAACUCAUCCACCAAUCAGAAACCGAGAAUCGGUGAAGCUAAAACGGUGAGCUUUGAAAGGAGUAAUCUAGCUUCCCCUUUCCAAAGUGACACUAAAAAUAGUGGGGUAUCACCACAACAAACCCUCGAUUACAGUGAAACAAACAGCAAAACUCAAAACCCUGGAGAUUUGUUGGAGGCUUCUCAAGAAAACUUCUCCUUCCUACAUUCCCAGCACCGACAACAGAUCUUCAGUAGUAAACACUCGGACAGUGGGUAUGACACCCUCAAAACUGGUCCUACCAUGUCAUCAGAUCCUGAAGUGAGAGAUCUCCUGAAAUUCCGCUUCGACAAGAGCCAGGAUCUUACAGUUUACCCAGUGCAGGUGAAACAGGGCAAACCAGACCCCAGUAAAGAACCGUGGCAAACAAAGCUGGAUGAGUCAAGGUUGAUCAAAGAGUAUUCCUAUCAGUACAUAAAGUUGAGCAAAGAGGAUGGGUCAAACGAGGAUGAGGAUCCAAUGUUGAAACAAGAUGGUUCACCACCACAGAACCUAGUUCAGCAUCGGAUAAAAGCGUUUGAAGGUUCCGGAGAGGAGGAUAAAGAUGAGAAGUGCAAGGAUGGUAAACUGAGGAUGCAAGAUCCGUUGAGAGUGACGUCACCAGUGUAUCAUCCCAAUGAAGCUCAUGUAUCAAUGUUGAGGAGUACAGACAGUCUGACGCCUUCACCUUGUGACCUGAAACAGUCCACCCAAGAAAGUACAAAUCUACGUAGAAUGAGGAGAACAAGUCUCCAUGGAUUUGCUUUGGGUGAUGCAACUUUAGCAUUGGACGAAGAUGCAAAGAUUGUGAUGGAGGAGGAACGUUUCGCAAAGAAAAGUAAUCCGAAAUCAGUGAGGGAUUUGUUGGCUGAUUUUGAGAAGAAGUCUCAGCUAGCUAAGGAGCAACUGGCGGCUGAGGAGCGGAGUAGUGAAGAAAGCCCUGGUAAAAGAUGUGUGUUCAGUGACACAGAAACACUGCUGUAUGAUACAUCCAGUGACGCUGAGUGUCACUCAAAUAGCGGAUCAGUGUUGUCAAAAAUCAGACGCCCAGAAAUGUUGGUGAGUGAGGAUGAUGAGGAGGAUAGAGAUGAGGAAGUAGCUGCAGCUCUGGGAAAACGUGAUACUUUCUUCAGUGCCUGUCGUGACCUUGGCAGGAAAACUGAGACAAAUCCCAAACAGAAAUCCAAAGCAGACAGUAUCGAGCAAGGCUAUCUAGAUGCAAACGGUUAUAAGCGGCUUAGUGUUGCUGAUUCUAUGAUCACCCAUGAGGAUCUAGAAUCACAUUGCAGUUCACCGAAAACUGCACCAAAACGGGCUCCUUCAAGCUUAAACAUUGGAAACGUGAGUGUGACAGAUGUAUUGGAAGAACAUUACAUGCCAAUGACACCCUCAAAGAAAUCUGUUCUGGCUCCCCCCAAUGAAGGUGGUCUAGUAGCUCAUACUAGAAGCAACUCUGCCUCACAAACACUCAUCAUGGAGAAUCUGUUAGUCAAUGAAGAAAGCUCCUAUGUUGAAAUGACUGAAAAUGGAAUGAUUCGCUCUCUGUUAGCUCCUGAAUCCAAUAAAAAGUUUUCAACUAAAUUAGAACUUCAAAGAAUGGUAUCAAACACUGAUUCGGCCUGUUACACUGAGAUCGAUCAAGCAAACAAAAUGGGUUCACCACUGAGUGCUCACUAUGAACUUCUAUACAGAUCUGGAGCUGCAAAUAAUUCACAGACUGAGCCUCUAUACAUGGAAGUCAACUCUUUGCCAAGUGAGGAGAAGUGUUUAGAUGCUGGUGCAUCUCAAGGGGAGAGAUCAGUGAAAUUGAGUCAUGAGUCUCUCAAUAAACGUGAGGAAGCUGGAGAUGGUGCUGAAAACCCUCAUCCGGUUUCAAGAGCUGCCCUACCUGACAUCUUAAACUCUUCCACGAAUGUCACAAAUCAGAAACAAUCAUCCAUCAAGUCCGACAGUUCUGAUGCUGAUGAUGAAGCAUCAAAAGAUUUGGACUCAUUGGAUGCUCCAAGACAUCCUAGAUUCAGUCUUUCUGACACAUUCAGACCAGCUUCCUAUUAUCUGGGUGCUAGCAUGGUUGAGAGAACCUUGGUUGGUAUCAACAAUUCAGAGCAACAAGACUCGUCUGACAGUGACCUGGUUUCACCUCCUCCCAUACCCACAAGCCCUCCUCCAAUGGAUGACUUGGAAACUUCACUGGAAUCAACAAUUGACUUGAAAAAAUCCUCACCUCUACACAAUAUGAAGAAUGACAAAAAGGAUUCCACUGAUGGCCAGAAGGAUUCAAAACUAUGGAACUCAACCUUGUCUCACAGUGAUGAUACAAUCACUGAACACAUGGACAAAUACUUCAGCACUUCGAUUUCAAGACUAGAUGAAACCAUCAGUUCAGAGACUGAUUCAAUUGAAUCGUGUAGGAGGGACAGAUUGAAGCGGCGACCUGUCUCAGCUGAUGUUCUACAUAGUUUGAACAGACCUUAUGAUUUAUUAGAUCUUGAGGAUGGCAUGAAUGUUGAUUUGGAUCAGUAUCUGGCUGAUUUGAAUCUCAUGAGUGAAGUCUCUCACAAUAUGCCUUUGAAUUCCAACCACAGAUUGUAUCAGAGUGAGAAGUAUCUCCCUGGUGAAAUUCCAAGUCAAAGUGUACAAGAUACCAACUCGAGGAAUGUAAAUAGCUAUCAAAUUGACAGUGAUGAGGUGCAAUAUGAGAAUCUUCAACUGAUGUAUCCUCAACCGCCUCCCACAAGCAACUCACUGGAUGAGUUGAGUAUUGAGCACGAUGUAGAUAACGAUACAUAUAUCACUUUGGAAAACCCAAUGAAUUUACCCGAGACCAUGGUAAUGGUUAGGAGACCAGAAGACAACCAAGAAGGGGCUGUUGAUCAGAGUGGUGCACCCUAUUACUAUGCAGACCUCUUGAAGGGUGAUCCCAAUGCAGCCCAUGUUGCAGUGGACAACAUAAACAUUAUGGCCCACAAUUCUAGUCAAGCAGUGAGGAAUCCUCGUGUGGGAUCUAUGUUGAACAAUCAGAGAGAAAGUCCUGUUGAGAUUAUCUGCUCAAACAAACGCAAUGAUGUGGGUCGUAAGGUGAAUCAGAUCCAUGGUGCUGUUGGCAGCACUUACCCCGAAUUGGAACAGAUGGAUGAUGCUGCUAGGUUGGCACUUGAACUGAGAAACUCAGCCAGGUUUUUGAGUGACAAAUCCGAGUUUGUAGAUGAGAGGAACCUGUAUGAAUCAAACACCUUGCGACGAAAAACUGUGUCAAUGUCUGCAGGUGACUACCGCAGUCAAACACCUGAUGCACUAGGAAACACAACUAACUCGCACAACAUCUACCCUCAUGGAAUCCGAGACAAAGAUGUAUCAAGCAGACAAACUACAACUCGGAGACGAAGUCGAUCGUUGGAAGGUCUGCUGGAUGAACCAGACUUCCAGAUCCCACCAGAGCCUUCUAGAAGCACCAGAGUUUCACCAGGCAAUGCUAUCUCCAGACUACUACAAACAACACGUCCUCAAACACAAGCUGUGCGAACAUCAACUGCUAACAUCCCACAGAAUAUUGCUUCAAGUUCGAGAGCACCAGAACCCAGAGCUCCCCCGCCUCCUCCUGAUGUGUGGGAAGAAGACACACUAUGGAGAGAGAAUCUGAGGAGAGCUAGUUUGAGACACACUAGGUCAUUAGAUGAUUUAGACAGAGAUACACCAACUGUUGAAGAGGCACCAGCUGUUCCCAAACAUCAUCAAACUAAUCAACCAGAUCCUCAACAUGUACCAUCAAAUCAACAGGUGUCACCUCAUCAACAAGCACUACUGCAACAACAAUACCACCAGGUUCCACCCCAUCAGACACAAGCCCAACAACAAAAGGUUACACCACAACAUCCUACAAUGGUUCAACAAAAAUAUACUCAAGUACCACCUCAUCAACAACAGUAUCCUCAGGCACAACCAAAUCAACAACAAUAUCCACAAAUACCACAACAAGCCAAACCACAACGAGCAUCGGCCACUCAACAACAAACUACCCCACCACAACAACAGAAUAACAGUUGUAAGUUGAGUAGGGAUGUGACAUAUGUGAAUGACAGUGUAGUCCAUAGACGUGUGAACCAUAGAGAGUAUGAAGAAGAUUAUAGAGAGGGAAGGUCGAAGAUGGCCGCUUCUAGACAACCCCCAAGUGUGAAUGGUGGAGGGGAUGAUGAUGAAGCAUUGUAUGAGAGGUUGGUGAGGGAUGAUAGGGAUGGUAGUUUACGUGGAAAUCAACAACAAAGUGUGGGAAAUGGUGUUGAUGUUAGAGAAGUGGGUGAUUUGGGGAGAACAGGAAGUAGCAGUAAACCAGUUCCAACUGGUUCCAACAGUCAACCACAGCCUUAUAAACCGGUUCCAACUGGUUCCAAUGGUCAACCACAGCCUUUCAUACCGUUUCAAACCGGUUCCAACAGUCAACCGCAGCCUUUCAAACCUGUUCAAACCGGUCCCAACGGUCAGCCACAGCCUUUUAAACCGGUUCAAUCUGGUCCCAACGGUCAGCCGCAGCCUUUUUUAGACAUAGGCUGGUACCCCACCAGACCGCCGUCGUUCGAGAUCGACCGCGAGAAGCUAAGGCAGUGGGACCUGAUGUCCAGCGCCCCAUCAGGCAUGGUUGGAGCGGGCCGCAUGGGGGGACGAAUCCCUGCCAAAAACCCAGCGCUGUCGCCUCCAGGGGCGGACCCAGCUGCCCCCCUGGAUCCCAACCGACCCUUGGACCUGCCGCCAAACAGUUCACAAGCGUCAGGAUCCGGAUCAGUGAUUGGCCGGGACCCCCUCCCACCGCGCACCAUAAUCGACAAGCAGCCAAUGACAGCCAACGGCGUGGCGCAGGGGGCGGGGCUCAGCGCCAGCAGCAGCCAAUCACAGCGCACCGUCUCCCCCUCGCCCCACCAUCCGCCUCUCUACACUCCACCGCCAGGGCCAAUCAUGCGUCAGCCCGAACCCGACCUUUCACACAAGAGGAUUGACGGCCCACCCUGUACAUGGAACCUUCAAAUGUCAGCUGGAGAACUGCUGGGCAGAACUCAUGAGGAACUAGUUCUCUUACUAAUCCAACUCCGCCGUCAGAGCGCAGGUUUUUGCAAGGCCAUGGAAGGAUGUCACAUCGAAAUUGAGGCUCAGGCAAGGCUUGCUGAACUUGAAACACCCAAACGGAUGGAGCAUCUACAGAAGCUUGAGGAUUUGAAGAGGCAUCUUCUAGAAUUGGAAAAACAGUACGAGAAAGGCAAACCGCUAGUGAACCUGGUGGACAACAUGGUGAAGCUAGGCUCGCUGUACAGGGCUGGCUCCACACCAGGCGGCAAACCUGCACAGUCGGCAACCUGCACAGUGAACCUGCACAGUCCCCUGUUGAGAGAGCGACUCCAGUUCAACCACAAGGUGCAAGAACAGAGGUUGUUAGCCGAGCAGCAGAGAGACUGGGACAGGCUUAGUCCCGAUCAUAAUCAACUGCAGGCAAAGGUGGCUCAACUCUAUAGGCUGGAUAAACUGCUACAAGAGGAGAGUGGAACACUGCAUAGUCUACAGCAAGAUAAGGAAAUGCUAGAGCAAGCCCUGGGAGGUCUACGACACAAACUGCAAGUGAUCGACAACAACCCGGUGGAAGCAGAGCGGUAUCGCAAGCAGCAGCGACUACUGGAGCGGGAACUGACGCGCGUCAGGUCCAUUCUGGCUCACAACUCUAAGAAACUGGAGGAGACUGUGGCAGAAAACGCUAGGCUGGAACAGGAGUUGGUUGUACUUAGACAGAAGGUACAAACAUCUCGCCGUAUCCCAGACCCGGCGACUGGACCGACUACAGCCGCGCUGGAAGCCGAGUUACGUCGCGUUCAGACUCUGGUGGGAGAUCUACAGCGUCAGCGACAUGAGCUCAGCAUACAAGUGCGACAGCUCACCGACAAGAGUCGAUCGCUCAGUCAGCAAAUUCGUCCCGGUCCCACUGGAGUCGCAGCUCAUUAUGAGAGUGACUACUAUGAUUAUUAUUGGCCCUAUUACUUGCCAGGAGCAGGUGCUUUGAUGGGUAAGAAGCGACCGCUGCACACCAGCUGGCUGGAGACUGACCUUGACUCUCAGGUGACGCGUGACCUUGGCAUGGAUGCGCGUGACCUUGGCCUAGAUUCUCCCACCCCUACCUCACCAACACCUCCUCCACCCCCUCCACCGCUCUAUGUCAACACUGAUAAUGAUAGUUCAGCUGCUGUGAGUCCUACAAACAUCAGCUCUAAUAAUUCUGAAUUGGCGAGCAGAGACGACAUGAGCCAUCAGAUGCAGUACUGCCGGCCGAUGGACAUAAGCGAGGCAGACGACCGCAUCAAGCGGUUCUACGGCAUCAUACCCAAGGACAAACCGCAGGAAAUCAAGACGGUGCGCAUCGUGAAGCGCGAAUCGGAGAGGCGACAGAGAGACAGGGAUAGGAGCGGCAAUAUCGGCAUACCGCUCACUAAUAACAACAUCCCCAACAAACGGUUGCCCUACCUUGAUGAGUACAGUAAUGAGCAACCAAUGACAACAUCAUCGUCAUCAUCAUCGAUGACGUCAUCGGUGACGUCAGUGCUGACCAAAGUGAUGGAGGAGGAAACCCCCUCCUCCUCAGUACCCCCUCCUGCACCCUCGCCACGCACCGAUUCUGUCAACGCCAUACGAAACCUGGUCAACAGGCAGCAAAUGCAAUUGGCUAAAUCCAAGUUUGACCUGAUGAACGGUGGUAGCAGCAGUAACAGCAGCAGCAAUCAGCUGUCAGCUACCGAACAGCUGUUUGGUCCAGCUUCCCCGCAGCUGACAGCUACCGAUCAGCUGUUUUCGUCGCAGCUGACAGCCACUGAUCAGCUGUUCUCACCGCAGGCAACCAAUCAACUAUCACCCCGAUCAGCUGUUCUCGCGACAGAUCAGCUGUUUUCACCUCAACAGUCUGCGAGCGAUCAGCUGUUUUCGCCGCAGUCGACAGAUCAGCUGUUUUCGCCGCAGCUAUCGCCCGUCUACCAGAGCGAGGCUGCGAGGCAGAUAAUCGAGGAGAUGAGUGCCUCGAGGCAAGGUGGCUGUUCGUCGAACAAACGCCUCGUGCCUCGCGAGAAACGUCGGCACCACACUGUUUCCGGGAGGCCGCUCUUCAGGAUAGACACUUCUUAUGCUGCCGGAGGCUCCAGGGACGACCUAGACAUGGAACGCGCUCUCAGACCACGCCUGAACGCUCCCGACGUUGUGCGGUCCACGCUCAGCCGCGUCGACACCAAGUUCUCUUCGGAGACCAUUGAUAACCUCCUGGGAACUCCCAACAAGAUCCUGAUUCCCGAGCGGUAUGUGCCUGAGACAUCCCCAGAGCUGACUGUUGAAGAGCAGGCGAAACGAAGCAAAAAAGCAGAUGCUAUCAGGAAGAUGUUGUCUGAAACUACAAGCACUGGGACUAUUGUUAAUCAGGAUCCUGUGUCGCCUAAUGAAGCAGAAAACGAUUUGGAAGAAGAGAAGUCGUCAACGCUCAAAAAGAAGGUGCAGGAAGAGAAACGCCAGAGAGAGCAUCUUCUACAGCUCAAUCAAAUUCUCGCACAGCAAGUCAUGGAAAAAAGUAAAAUUGUGGCAGGAUCGACACCAAAUAUUUCCUCACCUGCCUCUUGCUCGCCAGGCUCUGGACAUAAUUAGAUUAAUUAGUUAGUUGAUUAAUUGAAGCCAGUAUUUCAAAUGCUCUCCAGCCAGAUACGCCAAGUGAAAGCGCUCAAAAACCUUCCAUUGGAACUCGAGAAGAAGAGAGAGAUGGAAGCCGAUGAAGACGAUCUCUCUCCGGCCGAUCCUCUCCCUCUCUAUCAACAAAGAGAACAAUUCUUCUCUUAACGCUCACUUAGAAUAAUUGAUCUCAAUAAUAUCACAAUUAUUCACAUUUCCACCAUCAGAUUUAUCUGACUUCAGAUACUGUUGUUAGUGGGAUUUGGUGAUAUUUAUCCAUAAUAAAACACUAGAUUGUUGUCUAGAAAUAUCACUAAUUUAUUUAAAACUAGCAGGUAACCCGUGCUCCGCAAGAGUCUAAUUAAAAACUGGACAAACUGGAAACUUGACUUACUGAAAUCUUGAAGAAUUUAAAGUAGGUCUUAUAACCAUCCUCCGUACAGUAAAUUGAGAAUCUUCAUGCGAAAUUUCAAGUU